rnacentral:rRNA from 1 species
ACUCCUACGGGAGGCAGCAGUAGGGAAUCUUCCACAAUGGGCGCAAGCCUGAUGGAGCAACACCGCGUGAGUGAAGAAGGGUUUCGGCUCAUAAAGCUCUGUUGUUAAAGAAGAACACGUAUGAGAGUAACUGUUCAUACGUUGACGGUAUUUAACCAGAAAGUCACGGCUAACUACGUGCCAGCAGCCGCGGUAAUACGUAGGUGGCAAGCGUUAUCCGGAUUUAUUGGGCGUAAAGAGAGUGCAGGCGGUUUUCUAAGUCUGAUGUGAAAGCCUUCGGCUUAACCGGAGAAGUGCAUCGGAAACUAGAUAACUUGAGUGCAGAAGAGGGUAGUGGAACUCCAUGUGUAGCGGUGGAAUGCGUAGAUAUAUGGAAGAACACCAGUGGCGAAGGCGGCUACCUGGUCUGCAACUGACGCUGAGACUCGAAAGCAUGGGUAGCGAACAGGAUUAGAUACCCUGGUAGGAUAGCG